rnacentral:rRNA from 1 species
AUUGAACGCUGGCGGCAGGCUUAACACAUGCAAGUCGAGCGGGGGAAGGUAGCUUGCUACCGGACCUAGCGGCGGACGGGUGAGUAAUGCUUAGGAAUCUGCCUAUUAGUGGGGGACAACAUCUCGAAAGGGAUGCUAAUACCGCAUAUGACCUAUGGGAGAAAGCAGGGGAUCUUAGGCCCUUGCGCGACUAGAUGAGGCUAAGUCGGAUUAGCUAGUUGGUGGGGUAAAGGCCUAACAAGGCGACGAUCUGUAGCGGGUCUGAGAGGACGAUCCGCCACACUGGGACUGAGACACGGCCCAUACUCCUACGGGAGGCAGCAGUGGGGAAUAUUGUACAAUGGGGGGAACCCUGAUCCAGCCAUGCCGCGUGUGUGAAGAAGGCCUUAUGGUUGUAAAGCACUUUAAGCGAGGAGGAGGCUACUUUAGUUAAUACCUAGAGAUAGUGGACGUUACUCGCAGAAUAAGCACCGGCUAACUCUGUGCCAGCAGCCGCAGUAA